rnacentral:lncRNA from 1 species
UUGAACUCCUGGCCUUAAGUGUUCCUCUUUGGCCUCCCAGAGGGCUGGAACUACAGGCAUGGGUCACCAUGCCCUAUACGUCUUAGAUCUGGAUUCAAGUACACUAAUUGAACAUACAUUAAGGAGUCUUGUUGUUUGAUGACUAUUUGGUUAGGUUUUUAAGAAAUUUGGAGGAAAUCAUAAAUCUCGGAUUUGCUCAGAAAUAACGGAUGGGGUUGUAGGCGAUGAAUGGGAUCAACGUGAAGUAAGAUCACAUCCUCGAAAGGUUGGGAAAUAUGGGUCCAUUAGAUACAAAUUUUUUACAAUGUAGAAAAUGAAACAAAGACCUGCGAAGUUCACCUGGAUUAUUGUGACAGUCAACUGGUCAUCUUCCUCUCCUGUCUAUUUUCAGCAUCAGCCAGGGUACUGAUUUUGAAAUGGAUUAUAGCACUGUUUCAAAUCCUGCAACAGGUUUUUUUUCCCUUUUUUCUUUUUAAAAUAGCCUCCCCAUUGUACCUGCAGCCGUUUUUAACUCAAUUUUUCUGACUUCUGCGCUAUAGCUGAAUUGACCUGGCUAAUCCUCUAUACCAAGCACUCUGUCAUUAAGCAUUUAAGUUGUCGUUUUCCCUUUGGAAUGCUCUCAGCUGAGCUGUGUGGCUAAUUUCACUUACCUUCAGGUCUAUUCAGUGAAUCCUGCCUUGACCACCGUAUUAAAAAUAGUAGACCGGCUCCUUAAGCUUGUCCUACUGUCUCGUUACCCUUCUCCACUUGUUUUUGUCAAUAGCAUUUGUAAUUUUAAUAUUUACAAUUGGUUGUGUAUUGAUGAUGUGUUUUUUUCUGCUAGGAUGUAACCUUCACAAGGAGGUAAUUUUGUACUCUGGUGUAUUCCAGCUACCAGAACAAUGGCAUGUAGCUGUUUCCUGGAUUGCCAAGGAACUCAGUAAUAGCAGUGGGACUGGAAGAGAGAGAUUUUGGGAAGAACCACCCUGACCUAAAGGAGAAGGCACCUUAUUAGAAGUGACAGAAUAUAUAUUAUCUAUCACUGACUACCCA